CCGCCAGAUAGGGCGGGGAGGCUCGGGGUCUCCCCCUAUGACCGCUCUGCGGUCAUAGCCGCAAAUCCCCGAGACGGCGGGCCCGAACAGCCCCCGAUAGGGAAGGCCAUGUCCCAGUACCUGCCCCAGCCUCGAGCCUGUGAGUAUCCGCUCCUCAGGGGCGGGAAUGUGCUCUAGCCCCCCUGCCGGAGGGUAGGGGGUCUAGAGCUCCCCCGAUAUGGGGGCGGGGAAACGGUGUAGGCCCGGAAGGGAGCACACCUAACCCGGCAUUCCCGCGCUCUGGGGGGUAGCGGGUAUGAGGUUGCGGGGCUAGGGCGGGUAUUGGGCGGGCCUUCUCGCGGGGGUGUGCUGGCGG
rnacentral:SRP_RNA from 1 species